rnacentral:tRNA from 1 species
AGGGAUAUAACUGGUAGAGCACAUGCUUAGCAUGCAUGAGGUCCUGGGUUCAAUCCCCAGUACCUCCA